AACGCACAUUGCGCUCUUUGGUAUUCCGGAGAGCAUGCCUGUUUGAGAAUCAGUAAAUUCAUCAACCGCUUCAUUGCGGUUGGAUAUGGGCCCUUUGAGACUUCACGGUUUCAAUGGCCUGAAAUUUAAUGUUACGCUUCCUUGGACCAACAGUUCUUGGGCUUACGCAUGAAUGAGGCAACUCACACGUACGUUUGUUCUUGGGAUUGUCAGUUUUUUGGAUGGGGUGACCCAACUAUUAUCCAGAGUUGGUUGACGUCAAGUCAGCUUUCCCUGAACACUUGGUCUCAAAUCAGGUAGGAAAACCCGCUGAACUUAA
rnacentral:misc_RNA from 1 species